rnacentral:rRNA from 1 species
UGCAGUCGAGCGCGGGAGCGAGCGGAUCCCCUUCGGGGGUGACGCUCGUGGAACGAGCGGCGGACGGGUGAGUAACACGUGGGCAACCUGCCUGUAAGACCGGAAUAACCCCGGGAAACCGGGGCUAAUGCCGGGUAACACUUUCCUCCGCAUGGAGGAGAGUUGAAAGAUGGCUUUUAGCUAUCACUUACAGAUGGGCCCGCGGCGCAUUAGCUAGUUGGUGAGGUAACGGCUCACCAAGGCGACGAUGCGUAGCCGACCUGAGAGGGUGAUCGGCCACACUGGGACUGAGACACGGCCCAGACUCCUACGGGAGGCAGCAGUAGGGAAUCUUCCGCAAUGGACGAAAGUCUGACGGAGCAACGCCGCGUGAACGAUGAAGGUCUUCGGAUCGUAAAGUUCUGUUGUUAGGGAAGAACAAGUACCGUGCGAAUAGAGCGGUACCUUGACGGUACCUAACGAGGAAGCCCCGGCUAACUACGUGCCAGCAGCCGCGGUAAUACGUAGGGGGCAAGCGUUGUCCGGAAUUAUUGGGCGUAAAGCGCGCGCAGGCGGUUUCUUAAGUCUGAUGUGAAAGCCCACGGCUCAACCGUGGAGGGUCAUUGGAAACUGGGGAACUUGAGGACAGAAGAGGAGAGUGGAAUUCCACGUGUAGCGGUGAAAUGCGUAGAUAUGUGGAGGAACACCAGUGGCGAAGGCGACUCUCUGGUCUGUCUCUGACGCUGAGGUGCGAAAGCGUGGGUAGCAAACAGGAUUAGAUACCCUGGUAGUCCACGCCGUAAACGAUGAGUGCUAGGUGUUAGGGGGCUUCCACCCCUUAGUGCUGAAGUUAACGCAUUAAGCACUCCGCCUGGGGAGUACGGCCGCAAGGGCUGAAACUCAAAGGAAUUGACGGGGGCCCGCACAAGCG